GAUGAACGCUGGCGGCGUGCCUAACACAUGCAAGUCGAACGGAAAGGCCCUAAUUUUGUGGGGUUCUCGAUUGCGGAAGGCGUGAGUAACACGUGAGUAACCUGCCCUUGUCUUUCGGGUAACUUCAGGAAACUGGGGCUAAUAUCGGAUAGGAUCUCCUGCUGCAUGGUGGGGGUUGGAAAGUUUCGGCGGUUGGGGAUGGACUCGCGGGUUAUUAGCUUGUUGGUGGGGUAGUGGCUUACCAAGGCGUUGAGGGGUACACGGCCUGAGUGGGUGAUCGGCCACAUGGGAAGGUGGACAGGGACCAUAGUCCUACGGGAGGCAGCAGUGUGGAACGUGAGGCAAUGGGGGGAAGUAUUACACAGCGAGCCCGAGUGUGUGACGACGGCGUUCGGGUCGUAAAGCCGUCUUGUGGGGUAAGAACCGCUGUCGCCUGAGACGAAGCGUUAGUGACGGUAACGAAUAAAGAAGCACCGGCUAACUACGUG
rnacentral:rRNA from 1 species